AGCAGUAUGGUGUAGUGAUGUGCCCGGGAUUUUCAUGCAGUUUUGGCACAUUUAAUCUCGAGGUCCUUGUUCAAAUCAAGGUACUGCUC